rnacentral:lncRNA from 1 species
AGGGAUAUAAAAGCUAGGAGACUUUCCGCUCAUUAAAUCAAUCAAAUUCCAAGCUUCACUAGCGGAUAGGUGGUGGAAAGAUCCUCCAGAGGCCGCAUGAAGGGUUUGCUUAUCUUCCCUACUAAGGCCCUCAAAAAAGUGAAUUAGAAGAACUUCUUCUGGAAUAGAAAGCUCUGGGCCAGUGAGAGUAAGGUUAAUAAAGCGGUCCCAUGAUUUGCCAAGAGAUUCUUCUUCCAGUUGUCUAAAAGAAAGAAUCUUACGCUGAAGUUCCGCCACUUUAGAGAUUGGAAAAUAUUUUAAAAGAAAACUAUUAUGUAACUCCUUCCAAUCUCCAUGAACACUCCUUACUUUGAGUUUGUACCAAUGUCUAGCUUUUUGUGUUAAAGAGAACGGAAAAAGCUUCCAUUUAAGGGUCUCAUCGGACAUGCCUUCUAUGCAAAGGAGGUCACAGACUCUAUAAAACUCUCUUAGGUGUGUGUAUGGGUUUUCCUCACCUUCUCCUGAGAAAGGUUGUUUUUGAACAAGUUCUAUGUAUUCGGGGUCUAUCUCAAAACUAGAUGCUAUGAUAGGCUUUGAAGAUUUUGGUGGUUCGAGAUGUGUGCCCGUAGGUCUAUGAAAUUCAUAGAUAGACAUGUUUGAAUUCAUGAUAGACCAGAAAUCAAGGAUUAGAUAAGAAGAAAGAAUAGCAGAGAUAAGGCAAAGGAUAAAAGGAAUUUUUUUUUAAUUUUUUUUAGAAAAUGAUUAAGCUAGUUCGUAGUCAACUCAGCAACCGUCUCCCCGGCAAUGGCGCCAAAAAUGCUUGUUGACACUUGCUAACACCACUUGAAUACUAGGUUGUCAUCCCCAGCAUGGCACUAGAGUGUACUAUGGUAUUUAUACGCACACAGAUAAUCCGCAACCGCACGGAUACCGUUGAAGCUUUUACCCGGUUAAAGGUUUUAUCGUAUCCACAGGGAAACGGGAGAACUGAUCUACGCUCUAACUUAACCAAGAUAAGUAAAUAGGUGUAAAUAGGAAAGAUGGUAGAAUCGAAUAAGAACAAUAUCAAAGGUAAGAUAACAGUGAGUGAUAAUAUGGGAAUAGAGAGUAGAGCAAUCUAGUAUAUGGGCGAUGGUAGCAGAAUAGAGAGGAUAACUAUAGUUUCUCUACUUCAAAGGGGUAUGUCUAUGUCUGGGACAAACCACGUGAUAAGAUUACACCACAAAGGAUGCUUAUCCAUAGGCCGAUAAACCCUACCCAUCCUGCUAACGAGAGGUGGACUACAGAGGACCAACGUAACUGUCACCUACGCGGCCUACCACACAAUCCAGCUAGACAGGGGAUAUCCACAAGUAAUCUAGAUCUAAGCACCUCGCUUACACCUAUACUACAACUCUAACCUAUAGCGUCCUAUAGAUUAGAAGUACUCAAAAGAGUUGUGAACCAGAACAUACAUGAUUAGUAAUUGCAUAAUGAAUUAGAAGUAGAUUACCAGAGUCAUCCCAUGAGCAAGCUUGAUUAGAGCUUGAUCAUGACGAAGUACAACCGGAGGAAGAACCGACAUGCCGGCCUCUCCUCUAAUCCUCCUUCGCUCUCCAUCUCGCUACUAUCUAGAUCUACUCUAGUUUAGAGAAGAGAGGAGAGCUCUCAUCUCUAAACCCUAGCUUUUGCUCUGUCUAUGAAUAAUGAAUAAUGAUCAAGGGGUGCCUCCUCCAGGGGCUAGGGGGUCUGGUUAUAUAGUCCCCUCAAGUGAACCUGGGCCGUCGAAUCAAACCGACAUUGAUUGAAUGGUUAUUCUUGAUCCUUUAGGUCGGUGGAGAUCUCCCGAGAGAAAGAGUCCUGAUUGGGCUCCAACAGAGGGCGGGCGCCCUGCCUCUGGCCCCUCUCGGCCUCCGCUUCCUUUCCGUGGCUUCUGGAGUCUUCUAGAUGUAAGAUAAUUGCGCGGCACGUUAAUAUCUCUAUGUAAUCCCGACGUAUGGGCUUUUCUUCCAUAUUUCCUGAUAACCCCUUGCAGAAAUAGAUAAACACCAAAACUCGUGGAAUUCUGUUAGAUAAAACCCUAAGUCUAGAUGUUGAUUUCAUUUGGAUCCUUUUCUUUGUUUAUUUGAUAAUUAAAUUUGAUACUUAAGGACCGUCAACACUCGGGCUGGCAGGAGAUGUAUGGAGCAGGAGGCUCCAGGGGACAGCAUUCACACGAGGCAGGAGGAUCUGGGCAACCACAUCAGGAGCACACCCUAGAUGAAGAAGACAUGCCACCUCCUAUUCGCCCUCAGGUCACCCUAGACUCCCUCAACACUCGCAUGGGUCGACUGGAGCUCCAGCAAUGAUAGAUCCAGGGUACGCUGAAUGCCCACAUCCAGACUUCCACCCAGUGGCAUCAGCAAACCCAGCAGAGCUUCGUGGACAUGGAGGAUGCAAACUGUCGAUGGCACGAGGAGCAGUUGGCAUUGCUACGGUCUAUUGGAUUUUUCCAGGGACCACAGCAAUAAGCUAGCUUGGGGGAGAACCCCCAUAGAGGUAACAUGUAUCUAAUUUUCUUGCACUUCAAUUUUAGUAUUUAAUUUUCAGCACUCUUUUCUUUAUAUAUAUAAAAAAAUCCUCUCUCAUAUGUGUUUUAUUAUGCUAGUUGCUCUUCUGCUGAAAUGAUGAAUAGUUGCUCUGUCUAUAAUUCUUUAGUGUCUAAGUUAUAACUUAGUCUUCAUCAAGAUUUAAGUUUGUUGGCUAAAAAUGUCCUAUUAUGAAAACUUGAAAUCUUGUGGGUUGCGAAUGCAUGAUCCUUUUCUAAGUUGUUGUGAGACAUGAUAUGGUACAAAUAGAUUUUGCUAUGACUUUGUCUUAAGAGAAACUUGACAUCCGGAGUUUUCUUUUCAAAAAUUUAAAACAAAGGGUUCCUCAAUGAUUAUGAAAUACCUACCAAGGCCAGAUGACUUGUUACUCAGUUCUUAAAACCUUUAGUCAUAUGCGGCUUGCGGAACUUUGAGUCGGGUCAAAUCUCUGAGAUCCUAGAGUGAGAUUAUGGUCAUGCACCCAUGAUUGAGAUUCACUUACACCCACCAAAUAAAGCCAACUCUUACACUGAGAAGUCACGCACAACAUGCACCCUUCCAUCCACCAAUUUUUUUUUGCCAACUCUUAUCCUGAGAGUUGUGCCUUAGUUUUCCACCAAAUAAAAAUGCAAACUCUCAUCUUGAGAUUUGCACAUCCCCGAAUUCACUCCUUACUUUUUGUCCUCAUGACAUCUCUUUAAAUUUCUCUGAUUCCAUUCGUCAAGACAUAUGGGCUAUAGUUGAAAAAAAAUAAAUAUCCAAAGGGAAAAGCCAAAAAGGCAUAGACAGGAAAGAAAGAAAAAAAAAUCAAAAGUCCCCGUCAUGAAAAAAAAUUUAUUAAGAGAUAGAGCCCAUAUGUUUUCGUCUUCCUCUCUCUCUUAUCCUCCAAAUAAAAGAGAGUCAUGAUGCAAAAGAGUGACCAAAAAUAUUUAGAAUUAGGAUUUUCACCAAUUCCUCAUACUCCACACACUUGCACAUCUCAAUCAAGGUGUAUGAUUUGUAUCUCCUCAUGGUCCGGGCUUUGACUCAGCAAUACAAGUGUCGUAAGUACGCCCACCUUUAUACCUGCCCAAAACUCCACUCUCAGCCUUAGUGGUAAGGUUUAAAGGCAAUCACAUAAUGCCUUUGGUAAGGAUUUCAUACACAUUGAGCGAUUGAGAGAAUCAUUCGAGGAACUCAUUUAUUUUGCAAAACUUAUAAAAAACAUCCAGAUUGAUAGUCUACCAAAAGAUGAAUGAUUGGUGAGUCUGUUACAACUGUUCUAUCUUGCAACCACCCAAGAAUUUGGAAAAGCUAAAAGCCCCAUGGGAAAUUAAGGUAAAGAGUGGAUAUUAUGCCAACUUAUCUAAAUUGCGAAUGAAUGCUUUGUUAUAGGCAUGACACUCCUGAAUUAUAUCGGCAUAGUAGCAACUCCUGAUCAACAACCAUACUUUAUUAUUUGCUCGGGACGAGCAAAGGUUAAGCUUGGGGGUCUUGUUGGCAGUCACUAUGUAGGAUUUUAUACUGCGAACUUAGACUAAAAAGAAGAGGAAUAAACAUAUUUAAAUCACAUAUGCGUUUGCUAUUGACAUAGUUCCACUUGUACCAUGGUAUUUUGUUUUGCAGGAUUUAUAAUGUGACAAGUGGAAGAAAACAAUAAAAUAAAGAAAGCGCAAAAGAUGAAUUCACAAGUACACAAUCAAAAAUAAAUAAGAAGCCCACCUUCAACAUCGAACUGGACCCAAUCGUAACCGAAGCAGCAAAGGAGGUCCAGCAGGGAGGCAGCCACGCGAAGGCGGUGGCCAGGUGGGGCCCACCAGGUUGCGGGCGCAACCUUGGUGGCGGCAAACCGGCCACGCCUUUCUCUGGCGGUUGCAUGCCGCCAUGCAAAGGAUAGUUUCACCUACUACCAUAUUUAGAUCCCCCGAACCGUCCUAGUUGGGCUAUAAAUAGAUGGCUCCCCCUCAUUUGUAAAACACACAUCAUUUGGAGUCUACAUUUCCUCACACCUCUCACUUGUAUCUUUAGUAUUAGACUAGUAGUAGAGUAAGUGUUGACGGUCCUUAAUGCUCAUAUUUAACCAUCAAUUAAUCAUGGAAAAGGAUCCAAAUGCAACCAACACCCAGACUUAGGGUUUUAUCUGACAGAAUUCCACGAGUUUUGGUGUUUGUCUAUUUCUGCAGAGGGUUAUCAGGAAAUACGGAAGAAAGGCCCACACGUCGGGAUUACAUAGAGAUAUUAACGUGCCGCGCAAUUUUCUAUCAUCUAGAAGACUCCAGAAGCCACAGGAACGAACGGGAGGCCGAGCGGGCCCGGAGGCAGGGCGCCCGCCCUACCCCCCUGGGCGCCCGCCCUCCUCUGCUGGCCAAUCAGCACGAGUCUCGGGGAUUAUGCCCCACCGACUCUAAGGAUCGAGGAAAAUCACACGAUGAAGGUCGGUUUGAUCGGAUGGUGGAGAAUAACGUGGAAAUUCCUUGGGAGCUACUCUUCCUAGAUUUCUUGGGGGCUACUCUUCCUAGAUUUCUUGGGGGCUACUCUUCCUGGACUAUAUAAGCAGACCCCCACCAGCCCCUGGAGGCAUACCUCUUCUACAGAAUCAAAGCUAGGGUUUCAAUUCUUCAUCCAAGUAGAGAGGAUCCCUCUAGUUCUUCUAGUUCUACCUCUAGUUCAUCUAGUUCUAGUUCUAGUUCAUCUAGAUCUAGUUCUAGUUCCUCUAGUUCUAGUUCUAGUUAGUUCUAGUUGUAAUCUAGAAAAUAGGGAGAGAGAACAGGAGAGUGGAGGAGGAGGAGCCGCAUCUGUUGGAUCUUCCUCAACAUUGUACUUUUGCAGCAACUGGUUCGUUCUUCAUCGUUCUCCAGGUUCUUCAAUUCAUAAUCCUGAGUUCUUUAAUUACUUUUAUUUACAUUCAAGUUAUUUAUUGGAUUCCCGCUUGCAUCAAGUGCUCUAAUCUUUGCAACAUUAGAGUAGUAAUUAAUAGAUUAGACAUGGUGUUUAGUCUUGCAAUUACCUGGAAUUGCACCCAAUCCUGCGGAUUGUUGUGGUAGCCUUAGGGUAGUGACAGCCCUAACGGUCGACGUAUUCCACCUCGUUCGGAUCGGUGUUUGUAGGACCGUAGUCAGACCUUCCUAGCCCCCUUCUCAUCUCUUUCUGUGGUUAGUGUUCUGAUGUCCCGAUAUAAAUAAUCUUGAAGUAAUUCUUGAUUCUUAGAUUAACUAGAGAACUCUCAGGAAACUUCCUCUCUUCCCACCAAAAAUAAUUAUAUAGUUAUCCUUGGGCGAUCUUGAAUCUUAAUUAGUACACUCACGUUCCCUGUGGAAAAUCGAUACUCUGGAAUACUCCCGGGUGAAAGCUACAUCGGUAUCCGUGCGCUUGCGGAUUUUUCUGUUUGCGUUUAAAAUACCCAACAAGCUUUCUGGCGCCGUUGCGAGUGAACGGUAGCUGUGCUAGUUUCGAACCAAGUCGUCUGUGUAUCCUUUUUCUUUUCCUUUUUUACCACACUCACCUUACCAUUUUCACCACACCACAUGGAUUUCACUCCUAUCUAUAAAUUCUUUGCUCCAAAGGGCGAGUUAUUAGAGCCACCACCAUCAUCACAUCCAAUUCUUACAGAUGGCUACGACCUCGGACCUGAUCUAAUAGCCAUGAUUCAGGAGCAACCCUUCUCUGGGCAAGUAGAUGAAGAUCCAUACACCCACCUUAGAUAAUUCGAGCAGUUAUGCUCUUGCCGAUCUAUUUCCGGCAUGACACAAGAAACCCUUAAAUGGAAAUUAUUUCCGUUCUCCCUUCUGGGAAGAGCAAAAAAGUGGUAUGCUCAUUCUGUAGGAGGCGUUAAUGGAAGUUGGGAUGAACUUCGGGGCAACUUUUGUCUCGCUUUCUUCCCACUUUUUCGAAUUGCUGACCUUAGAAUCGAAAUUCUUACAUUCAAACAAAGAGAGAAGGAAACUUUAGGAGCAGCUUGGGCUAGGUUCACAAGCCUUACCAAUUCCGGUCCAAACCUUUCCCUGCCUAACCAUGUACUGUACUACCACUUUUAUCGUGGUCUAAACAAGGAAGCUGCUCUUCACCUUGACAUUGCUUCAGGAGGCUCAUUCACACACAAACUCACAGAUGAGGGGAGAGCUAUCCUAGAAAGAAUCCUUGACAAUACCCCUUACAUAGGCAUUUAUGAUGAGUUUCCUGAAGAAGAAAAAGAAGUCGAGCCUGAUCCUAAACCAAAAGAUGAGGGACUUGCAACCGAGUUAGAAAUUCCACCUGACCCAUCCAUUAAUUUGGUUGUAGAGAAACCUCUUGAUAAAGGAAUGCAAAACCAACUAAGGGAUGAUGAACCACCACCUUUAGAGCAUCCCUUUGAAUUCGAGGAAGAUCUUUUUGAAGAUGAUGGAAACACCUCGAAUUUUCCUAUCCAAACACGACCUCUAGUAAGGACCACUCAAUCUGUUCUAAGAGUAGAAUCUGUUGACAUAGAACACAUCAAAAGCCUUUCGGCUAUUCUGAGUUAUGAAUGGCUAAUAGAAGCAGAGCUGUCCCCUGAGGUAGCUCGAAUCAUCACUCCUUCAACCAUUCUUCUGUGCCAAAUUAGAAGGUCCCCUAGGAAGGUCCACUACAGUCCAUAUGUUGGGAUAAAUGUUAUUUCCAAGGAGUUAGCUGACACUCUUUAUCCCAACGAGUCCAUAACCCCGUCUCAAAAACUUUUACAAAGUCCAUCUGGAUUAAUUCUAGAAAGCCAUGGGGUAUUAAGGGCAGUUUCUGUUAGAAUCAAGGACUCUGGAAUAUGUCUAGACUUUCACAUUUUUGACAUACCAGAGAUUCCUCUCUUGAUUGGCAGACCAUCAUGAAACUUCUACAAGAACAAACACAACAAGGUCAUUUAGACUUCAAGGUUGGGAAUUCCACUAUUGUUGUUCCUCUUGCUAGAUCAAUUAACACGAUAGUGGAACCCAAACUUGACCCAGAUCCUAUUGAGGAGAUCUUAAUGGUGACUCAAGAGGAGAUGACCCAACCAUUCUUUAAUCAUGAACACUUUGUUCAAGAAGAAGAAGAGUUGGUAGAACCCGUUGAGCUAGAUAAAAAUGAACAACCUUCACCUCCUUCAAUAGAAUUAAAACCUCUUCCUUCUGGCCUUAGAUAUGUCUUCUUGCACAAUAACCCAAAAACUCCAGUAAUUAUCAGUGACAAGCUUUCCGAUUAUGAAACACAACAACUUGUCACUGUUCUUGAAAGACAUAGAUCAGCAUUUGGCUACUCUCUCGAAGACCUCACGGGCAUUAGUCCCAUUCUCUGCACUCAUCGUAUCCCUAUUGAUCCUAAUUUUACACCUUCAAGGGAGCCACAACGGAGACUUAACAAUGCUAUGCGAGAGGUUGUUAAGAAAGAGGUCCUCAAACUCUAUCGUGCUGGGAUUAUUUAUCCUGUGCCACAUAGUGAGUGGGUUAGCCCUGUCCAAGUAGUGCCAAAGAAAGGAGGAAUGACGGUCGUUAGGAAUGAGAAGAAUGAACUCAUCCCUCAACGAAUUGUCACUGGGUGGCGUAUGUGUAUUGACUAUCGAAAACUCAAUAAGGCUACAAAGAAAGAUCAUUUUCCGUUACCCUUCAUUGAUGAAAUGUUGGAACGGCUUGCAAACCACUCAUUCUUUUGUUUCCUUGAUGGUUAUUCUGGAUAUCACCAAAUUCCAAUCCACCCAGAUGACCAAGAAAAGACUACCUUUACAUGCCCAUAUGGAACCUAUGCAUACCGAUGAAUGUCGUUCGGAUUAUGCAAUGCUCCAGCUUCUUUCCAACGGUGCAUGAUGUCUAUUUUCUCAGACAUGAUUGAGAAGAUCAUGGAGGUUUUCAUGGAUAAUUUUACCGUCUAUGGUAAAACCUUCGAUCAUUGUUUGGAGAAUUUAGAUAGAGUCUUGCAGCGAUGUGAAGAAAAACACUUAAUCCUGAUCUGGGAGAAAUGUCAUUUUAUGGUUCAGGAAGGAAUAGUGCUAGGACAUAAAGUGUCCGAACGUGGUAUAGAGGUGGACAAAGCAAAGAUUGAAGUUAUUAAAAAACUUCCACCUCCCACAAAUGUGAAAGGAAUCCGUAGCUUUUUGGGACAUGUAGGGUUCUAUAGACGCUUUAUCAAGAAUUUCUCUCAAAUUGCUAGACCCCUAACUAGUCUCCUAGCUAAGGAUGCACCUUUCAUCUUUAGUGAUGAGUGUCAUGAAUCUUUUCAAAUUCUUAAGAAAGCACUCAACUCAGCCCCGAUUAUCCAACCACCUGAUUGGAAUCUUCCUUUUGAGAUCAUGUGUGAUGCUAGCGAUUUUGCGGUUGGUGCCGUUUUAGGACAAACCAAGGAUAAAAUGCAUUAUGCCAUAUCCUACGCUAGCAAAACCUUGUCUGGACCACAGCUCAAUUACACUACAACUGAAAAAGAGCUUUUAGCUGUUGUCUUUGCUAUAGACAAGUUUAGAUCUUACUUAGUGGGGGCGAAGAUAAUCAUCUAUUCAGACCAUGCUGCUCUCAAGUACCUCCUCAAUAAGAAAGAUGCUAAGCCUCGUCUAAUUCGAUGGAUUCUUCUACUCCAGGACUUUGACAUAGAAAUCCGAGAUAGGAAGGGAGUAGAGAAUUCCGUAGCCGACCACUUGUCUAGGCUUCAAUAUAAGGAAACACAUGAUGAGCUUCCCAUAAAUGACUACCUAAGGGAUGACACCCUACUUAAGAUAACACAUGCAGAUCCAUGGUACGCAGACAUCGUAAACUUUAUAGUAAAAGGCUAUGUCCCACCUGGUGCAAACAAAAGGAAGUUGCUUCAUGAUAGUCGUUUCCACCUUUGGGAUGAGCCAUAUCUUUUCCGAGUCUGUGCUGAUGGAGUCUUGAGAAGGUGUGUUCCUAUGGCUGAGGCUACUCAAAUUAUGGAAAGAUGUCAUGCCUCGCCAUAUGGAGGACACUAUGGAGCAUUCCGGACACAUGCUAAAAUUUGGCAAAGUGGCUUUUUCUGGCCAACGAUGUAUGAAGAUACAAAGGACUUUGUUAGGAGAUGCCACCGAUGUCAAAAACAUGGGAAUAUCAACUCACGAAAUGAAAUGCCUCUCACAAAUAAUCUUCAAGUAGAACUUUUCGAUGUAUGGGGCAUUGAUUUCAUGGGACCAUUCCCUAUGUCUGGGAAUUGCGAGUAUAUCUUAGUAGCUGUGGACUAUGUAUCCAAAUGGGUAGAAGCCCUACCUUGUCGAUCAGCUGAUUCAAAACAUGCCAAGAGAAUGUUCCAUGAAGUAAUCUUUCCUCGCUUUGGUAUACCCCGGAUAGUUAUAAGCGAUGGAGGUUCCCACUUCAUCGACAAAAUCUUCCGGAAGUACCUAGCCGAUCAUGGAGUUCGACACAACGUCGCAACACCAUACCAUCCUCAGACUAGCGGUCAAGCCGAAACAUCUAACAAACAAAUCAAAAAUAUUUUACAAAAGACUGUAGAUGAGAUGGGUAAGGGGUGGAAGGACAAACUUUCUGAUGCACUUUGGGCAUAUAGAACUGCAUUCAAAACACCCAUAGGCAUGUCACCUUAUCAACUUGUAUAUGGAAAAACUUGUCACUUGCCUGUGGAAGUAGAGUUUAAGGCUCAUUGGGCACUCAAGAAAUGGAACAUGGAUCUCCACCUCGCUAGCAAGAAUCGUCUGAUGCAACAAUCUGAGCUAGAAGAAUGGAGAGAGAAAGCCUACCACAAUUCAAGGAUUUAUAAAGAGAGAACAAAACGAUGGCAUGAUAAGAGAAUCAAGCACAAGGAGUUUAAGCCUGGAGAUAAGGUUCUACUAUUCAAUUCAAGAGUUAAGCUCUUUGGGCAUGGUAAGCUACGAAGUAAGUGGGAUGGACCAUACAAGGUUAUUGACACUUCAACUCAUGGAGCCAUUACCAUCCAAGACGACAUAGGUAACACUUUUAAGGUAAAUGGUCAACGCUUGAAAAUCUAUCUCGAGCCACAAAACAACCUGGUAGAGGAACUUGAUGUGAUUGAGUUCAUAGAAUUCUCAUAUUAAGCUCUCAUAAGCUCUAGACAAUUACCUAACCCUUAACAUGCUCCACAAGUUUUGUUGUCUAUUUGGGUUGUGCAGGAUUUUGAGGCUUAAGAAGAGUGAGAUUGAACAUGUAGGCCACAAGAGUGAACGACUAUGUCAACAUCCACCUUGGGGGAGGCACCCCCACGUGUAUCUAGAUAAGUAUUACUUUUCUUUCUUGGUUUUAUUUACUAGUAUUCAUAAAUAAAUAAAAAUGCAUAACCAUGAAACCAAACAAAGUUUUUCUUUUGAGUAAUAUACAAUAGUUUUGUGUAAUUCUAAGUUUUAAAUAAAAAUAAAAAGGUUUGAUUCAAGUCUAGGUAAUUGACAAACAUGAUAUGAGAAGGUCUGAGCUACUAUUUAACUUGUUCCAAGUUUUGCUAGAGUUCUGGAGAUUUUAUCUUUUGAAAAUCUAAAAAUUCAUAAAAAAAAUAUAUGAGAUCAUAAUACCUAGAGUCUUAUAAGAUAUAAAUAUUAAAACUGUGGGCACUUGCUUUGUUCAAGCCAUUGUUAAUUCUUGUAGUUUUGGUUGAGAGAAUUAUCAUGCUCCCAAGAUCAAGAUCUUUUUGUUUUAAAAAUAUAAAAGAUUCACUCUUCCGAAGUAUUAUUGCGUUAGAGGAAUGGGACUAUGUAAAAAUUUGAUUCAAAAGAAAAAAAAGAGUGAGACGAGAGGUAAAAAUGGACAAGUGUCCGAAGUAGAAUUAGGGGUACAAAGAUACCCACCUGAGUGGAAAAAAUGGACAUGUGUCCGACAGUAGAAUUAGGGGUACUUGCUGCCCACUUGAAACAAAAAAAAGAAAGAGACUAAAAAAAGAGAAAAAAAAAUGAUAGCCCAUGGUUCCUCUAAUAAGCAAUAUGCCAGUAAGAGAUGACAAACUUUUCAAAAAGAUCAAAGGUCUUGAUCUAGGAGUAUGACAUUCGUCUCCCUUGCUCCAAGCAUUGACAUAGCAAAAUGCAAAGUAAGUAUGCUAAAAUUUUUAAAGCUCUACUUAUAUAUCUUUCGAGAAGAAGGCAAAUGCUUCAGUUUUAUUUUGGAAACUUACAAACAACUCCAGAACAAAGGUAAGACAGAAGAACUUGAGACAUAGUGCUUGACUUGAUCGUUCUGUUUUUCAAUCACUUAAGACCUUAGUGAUAAAUUAAAAACCCUGUAGUAAGAGGCAUAAAAGUAACCCGUGUUUUCUUGUUGAUUUUAGCUUUGCUCAGGGACGAGCAAAGGUUAAGCUUGGGGGAGCUUGUUGACGGUCCUUAAUGCUCAUAUUUAACCAUCAAUUAAUCAUGGAAAAGGAUCCAAAUGCAACCAACACCCCGACUUAGGGUUUUAUCUGACAGAAUUCCACGAGUUUUGGUGUUUGUCUAUUUCUGCAGGGGGUUAUGAGGAAAUACGGAAGAAAGGCCCACACGUCGGGAUUACAUAGAGAUAUUAACGUGCCGCGCAAUUUUCUAUCAUCUAGAAGACUCCAGAAGCCACGGGAACGAACGGGAGGCCGAGCGGGCCCGGAGGCAGGGCGCCCGCCCUACCCCCCUGGGCGCCCGCCCUCCUCUGCUGGCCAAUCAGCACGAGUCUCGGGGAUUAUGCCCCACCGACUCUAAGGAUCCAGGAAAAUCACACGAUGAAGGUCGGUUUGAUCGGAUGGUGGAGAAUAACGUGGAAAUUCCUUGGGAGCUACUCUUCCUAGAUUUCUUGGGGGCUACUCUUCCUAGAUUUCUUGGGGGCUACUCUUCCUGGACUAUAUAAGCAGACCCCCACCAGCCCCUGGAGCCAUACCUCUUCUACAGAAUCAAAGCUAGGGUUUCAAUUCUUCAUCCAAGUAGAGAGGAUCCCUCUAGUUCUUCUAGUUCUACCUCUAGUUCAUCUAGUUCUAGUUCUAGUUCAUCUAGAUCUAGUUCUAGUUCCUCUAGUUCUAGUUCUAGUUAGUUCUAGUUGUAAUCUAGAAAAUAGGGAGAGAGAAGAGGAGAGUGGAGGAGGAGGAGCCGGAUCUGUCGGAUCUUAAUCAACAUUGUACUUUUGCAGCAACUGGUUCGUUCUUCAUCGUUCUCCAGGUUCUUCAAUUCAUAAUCCUGAGUUCUUUAAUUACUUUUAUUUACAUUCAAGUUAUUUAUUGGAUUCCCGCUUGCAUCAAGUGCUCUAAUCUUUGCAACAUUAGAGUAAUAAUUAAUAGAUUAGACGUGGUGUUUAGUCUUGCAAUUACCUGGAAUUGCACCCAAUCCUGCGGAUUGUUGUGGUAGCCUUAGGGUAGUGACAGCCCUAACGGUCGACGUAUUCCACCUCGUUCGGAUCGGUGCUUGUAGGACCGUAGUCAGACCUUCCUAGCCCCCUUCUCAUCUCUUUCUGUGGUUAGUGUUCUGAUGUCCCGAUAUAAAUAAUCUUGAAGUAAUUCUUGAUUCUUAGAUCAACUAGAGAACUCUCAGGAAACUUCCUCUCUUCCCACCAAAAAUAAUUAUAUAGUUAUCCUUGGGCGAUCUUGAAUCUUAAUUAGUACACUCACGUUCCCUGUGGAAAAUCGAUACUCUGGAAUACUCCCGGGUGAAAGCUACAUCGGUAUCCGUGCGCUUGCGGAUUUUUCUGUUUGCGUUUAAAGUACCCAACAGUAAGGCAAGAGCUACCAAGGAGAGCAUGUCUCCUAGGAAGAAAGGAUCCUCUUGGUAUGAAUCAUAAUCAGUGUUCUUCCAUGAGCAAGUUCUUGUUAUCUUUAUAUAAUUGUGCUUAUGAACUAGAGUAUAGUUAUGUCUAUAUCAUGUUCAUAGUAUAUGAACUAGUUCUUAGUUCUUGUGCUAUGUUCUUGAUAUAUUCAUCCCUGUUCUUCAUCGUUCAUCUAACUUAUAUGAAUAGAAGUAGAAUUAGGGAUGAGAUGAUGGUUCACUGGGCCAUUCCGGUUGCUCUUAACCUAGCUUGUCAAUCUGAAGGGUUAGGGCCCGCAGGGGUUAAGAGUUAUUUCCAAAUACGUGAACAUGGUGUUCAGGUAUGCGGAGAUCAGUGGAUAUGCGGGUAUCCCAUGGGCAGAGGGGUAGGUGGCCGGGUAGUGACAGCCCUGUCAUCCUUCGUAUUCCCCCACGUUUGGAUAUUCGGUAGGAGUCAUGUAAAGUCUCUAUUUGCUGGCGGACCAGCUAUGGGGAUCUCCCUAUCAUCUCAACUCUGAUCCUAUCUCUAGACUUGCUAGUUAGAUGACUUACUAACAGUUCUUAGCAUAGUUAUAUACGAACCAUGCCUGCUCAGUAGUUAUAUUCUUUUAUUCUUUAUUUUAUCUUUUAUCCUUGAGGAUGACCCAGAUGUGUGUCCACUAUCUCCAAAUAUCAUAUCUUACCCCUGUUUACUCUAUGCCUACCAUGCAUUUUAAUAAGUAAUCAUGUUAUAACCAUGCUAGAUAUAAAUGCCUUCCUACAGGAAUUAUAAAUACGACACCCAUUUAUGGGUUGAAAUGCUACAAUGAUAGUUCUGUGCGCUUGCAGAGUUAUUCUUAUUUCGUACUGAGCUAUCGAUUGGCGUACCUAAGCACCUUUACUUAAGAUUGUAAUCCUUGUGCACUUACCCGGCGCCGGGCCACAACUUUGCAUAUCGUAAGUAAGGAUGGUUAGGAAGGCCAAUCUGGCAUUACUAAUCAUCAGUACCAGACUGCACUGCCUAGGCCCGCGCCGUAAAGAGCCUUGGGUUAUCAUUCUAAAGUGAUGGUGGUUACGAUAUGCCAAGAACGUUUCUAGUGUUAUCGUUAGGGAUGGACUCAAACUCUAUCUUUAGUGGUUUCGCUAAGAAACGCCAAUAGGAGGCGAGGACCAAGGAAGCGUUGCGCUGCCCUGACCAUCACCCCUUCAACAUGAGGAGGCACUAUGCUGCCACCAUGCGCUAUAGGUCUCUGCCAUGCCAUCCCUUUAACAACCUCUUGCGUAUAGUGACUCCUCGUGGCAGUGAUUCCAUAGGCCACCACUGCCUCGCUUCACCUCCGCCAACCUUCCACAGUGAUGCUCUAUGUUGCAGUCACCGUUGUUGGGUACUCUUAACAUCAUUACCAAAAGUAGACUAAGUUCUCUAAAUCUAGUAACGGUGCCAAAAAUGCCAAACCUAUCCCUCACACCACUUAAGCCAAGUUGUCAUCCCCAGCAUGAUAUAAGAGAUGCGGUAUUGAAAUAUGCAAUUGCUCUUCUAAAUAAAUAAUGAAUGGGAUCUGCAAGCGCACAGAUUAAUACCGAUGCAGCAUUUUAACCGAGAAGUAUUCCAGGUAUCGUUAUUUAUAUUUUUACCACUGGGAAGGGAUUAGCAAUCAUCACUAUUGAUUACAGAAUAGAAUAUGAGAUUGAGCAUCUAUCAUUGCAUGUAUAAUUGAGAACAUUAUAUCUAACUUCUCAUACAGGGAUAAGUGUCACAUAAAAGAUAUAUGAAAUAAUAAUAGUGACAAGGAUAACUAAUCUGAUCUAGCCACAUAAUAAAUAUGAUAAGCACCUCAAUUAGAUACUCUAGAAAGUCAUUAGCAUGGUAUUAGAACGAACUACAAGAAUAUUCCCUAAGUUAUUCUCAACUAUAUAGUCUAGCAUAUCAUAGUUAGUGCAAGCAUACUUAGCAAUCAUUGCGAGAUAAGACUACGCCCAUGCAUAGUGAUAUUAGUAAGGAAUAUGAGAAACAUAGCAAUCACUCCCCUGUAAUAAUGUUGCUCUGCCAGCCCAAUACACGAGAGGGGGACUAUAUAAUAAUCAAUGAAGCUGUCACUAUCACGAACGACCCCACGAUCUGGCAUAUUGGGUACAAUCGUAGAUAAAUACGGUAUAAGCACCACGCCUACAUAAUAUCUAUCAUUUACCCAUGGAUCCGAUGGAUAAACGCUAUACGAUCCUAAGCAUGUAUAUAGAUCCAAUCUAACUAAGCCAAGUACAUAACUAUGAUAAACUAAGAACAAUAUUAUCUUGAAUAUAAGCAAGUAGAGCAAAGUCAUAAGCAAUAUAUUGAAGUAGAACAAAGUCAUAUUCAUAAUAUUGAAGAACAAAGAUAAUUAGAAUGCAAUUAGAAGCACAAUUAGAGAAUUACCAAGAAUCCUCUUGAUAGAUCCGGAAACCAAUCGAAGAUUGACUCCUAGUUAUAAUCCUAUGUAGCUAUGCUAAUCUAGAUAUCUAAUUGAUGUGGUGGCUCUAAUCUUGAUCAGAGGCUUCUUCUCCCUUGAGGAAUAAUGAAUUAGGGUUGAGAGGCUCUCUCCUCCAGGGGCCAGGGGGUCUGGUUUUAUAGUCCCUUCAAGUGAAUAUGGGCCAUUGGAUCAAACCGACAUAGAUUGUAUGGUUUAGAUUCAUCCUUUAGGUCGGUGGAGAUCUCCCGCGAAGCAGAGUCCUGAUUGGACUCAAAGGCAGGGCGGGCGCCCUGACCAACUGGGCGGGCGCCCAGGGUCAGGCCCCGUUUCGCCUCCGCUUCGGUCUCGUGGCUUCUAGAGUCUUCUAGAUGUAAGAUAAUUGCGCGGCAGGUUAAUAUCUCUAUGUAAUCCCGACGUGUGGGCCUUUCUUCCGUAUUUCCUGAUAACCCUCUGCAGAAAUAGACAAACACCAAAACUCGUGGAAUUCUGUCAGAUAAAACCCUAAGUCUAGAUGUUGAUUUCAUUUGGAUCCUUUUCUUUAUUUAUUUGAUAAUUAAAUUUGAUACUUAAGGACCGUCAACAAACUCCCCCAAGCUUACCUCUUGCUCGUCCCUGAGCAAAGAUAGACUCAGCUAUGGAUCAUAAGUUAUUGCAAUAUAUUUAAAAAUUGACGGUAUACAUGCUUUUUAAAUAAGAUCUCAUCUCUAAGUUAGAGUAAACUGUCAAGACUUAAAACUUACUUACUUUACCUUCACCAUGGGACUUGUAACUGUCACUUCUAUCUUGAGUAGUUAAAAGAUAGAACAGUCUAGUCAAGUGCCAUGUCUCUUAUUCUUGAUCAGCUAUAGCUCUGGGGUUUUUGCAGAUUUUCAAAUAAAACUCAGAGAUUCCUUGUAUGACUCUCUCAGGUCUCUCUUUUGUGGUAUUUCUGGAUCCUUACCAAGGCAGUGCUGGUAUAUGCCUUCUCUCAAGAUAUGUAGUAUUUGUGGUAUAAGGCAUAGUGACAUUGCCUUCUCUCUCACCCUACUCUAAUAAGGCUUUAAUAUCUGGAGCUCAUAGGUGGGAAAUAAAGUAUACAUACUUACAAGACAUGUAUUGCAUAGUCAAACCAUGGAUCCAAAGAAACAAGCCAAUGAGUUUAAUCAAGAUGUGCAUGUGUGGCGAAUGAAUGAUGUAUGGUGAUGAUGGUGAUAACAAUGGUGAAAACAAUGGUGGUGGAAGUCUAAUUCUACUUUGCUCUUUGAGGGGAUACAUACCUUCCUUGCUUUUUUGAAACUUUAUGAGGAGAAUGAGAUGCUCUUCUUUUUCUUUUCUCUCAGGUGGGUAUCUUGCACCCCUAAUUCUACCGUCGGACACUUGUCCAUUUUUACCUCUCGUCUCACUUUCUCUUUUCUUUCGAGGUUCCGAGCACUUGCUCCUUUUUAUUUCCUCGUAUUUCUUUUUUUUAGAGCACUCAUCUCAUGAGAUAUUAUAGCAAGUGGUAGUAACAAGAUAACUUGAGCAUUUAUUUCACAAGGGAAAAACAAAAAUAUUUUUGGUUAUUCUCUCCUGGAUUAGGAGUAGAAUAUUUUUAGGUGGUUCUGGAGAUGGAAAUGGAUGGAUAUAUGUGGAUGGUACUUCCGGAGUAGAAGUAGCAUAUAUGAGUGAACGUGCAAGUGAAACCUUGAUUUAACCACAUGACAAGUUCCUAAGGGUCUACACAGCUUGACCACACUCAAUGCUCAUAAGCAGUAAAUAGUAAAUGUGUGGCUCAAAGUCUAGCAAGCAUGUAUAUAUGGCUGUGGUAGGAAUUUAAACUCUCAUCAUACAGGAACUCAUCAUGCAACAUUUUAAAGAUUUUCAAAGAUAAAAUUCUCCAGAAUUCUAGCAUCUCUAGGAACAAAUAAACAGCAGCUCAACCUUCCCAUAUCGUAUCCGUUAACAACUUAGACUUCAGAUCAAGUUUUCAUCCCACAAGUUUAGGUCUAGAGCAAGCUUUAAAUUAUAACAGUUAUAUCUACUUGAGAGAGAACUUAAAAUGUGCAAAUUAGGCAGAGCAACUAUUCAUCAUAUCCUUGCUUGAGUUUUAUUAUUAAGAUACAGAUUAGCAUAGCCACUUUAUUUAUUUUAUUAAACACACUAAGCAAAAGACAUAUAUAUAAGCAUAAAAAUCUUUACUUGGUUUUUUUCAUAGUUAUGUAUAUUUAUAUUCUAAAAUAAUAUGAGUGUAAAGAUAGAUAGAUAGAUAGAAAUACUUAUCGAGAUAAAUGGGGGUGCUCUCCCCCAAGCUGAAUUUUGACGUAAUUUCUCUUGAUGUAGCUAGCAGGUGGCAGAGGUGUAUUUGAAAGUCAGCAGCAUUCUGACAGCGAUUAGAAUGUCCUCCGUCUGCUAGUCUUCUUGAUUCUUAAAUUCUGUGGAGCUCAAAUAGACAACAAAGCUUGUGGAACUGAUUAAGUGUUAGCAUAAAUAUCUAGCCUUUAUCAUCUUGAGACUCCUUAAUAAUUAUUACUCCCUGUUUUUUAUAUUUUUAUUUUAUAAAGCAGAAAAAUAUUUAUUUUAUUUUUAUGCCACCACAGUGAAUGUACUUAUGGGUUUUAUGCCACUUGUAUACUCACAUGGGGCUUACUUUUUUUUUUCAUAUUUUUAUUUUCUUUUUAAGAUAGUACGAACAUGAUUAACUAAGUAAACUAUUUGAAAUAAUUAAAAGGGAAAGGAUAACUACCAAGUUUACCUCUUGGCAAGGCGUUCGGUGUUUUUAAGUCCUCCGAACGGGACUCUCCAUUUUCUUAAUCGUCCUGAGGUUCGUUGGGUGGCGUAGUCGGUACUUCCGGGAGCGCCUCCUCUUCAUGUAUAGUUAUCUUCAUUUUCCACACCUGACUUGGUGCUUCAAUCUCCUCUGGAUAAUUCUGUUUAAACUCAACGUCUUCUGAUCUUACAACUUCUCCUUCAUAGUCUGCCCAUCUGUCCUUGAUGAUCUGCCUCCUCUGGUUGCGGUUGCGUCUCUUUCUGAGCUACUUAGAUUCUUCAACGAUAUAGUUAGGGUCAGUAAAAUAAUGACAUACCUUCUCUGAGGGGAAGUGCAUAUGGACUUCUCCGGUUCCAAUGUAGAUAAUUGCUUUAACGGUGCUGAGGAACGGUCUUCCAAGGAUGAUGGGUGGAUCGUACUCAUCUUCUCCCAUGUCAAUAACUUGAAAGUCUGUGUAGACAAAGUGAUCGUCUAUUUUGACUGGGACAUCAGUUACUAUUCCAUUAACUUCUCGAAAUGUCUGAUCUGCCAUCUGGAGCUGAAUGUAUGUUGGUCUUAGUGGCAUGGUCCCGAACAAGAGCCGAUAGGUGACUGCGGCCAUUAUGUUGACACCCGAUCCGGUGUCACAAAAUGUCUUGUAGAAGUUGUAUCCAAUUAUGGAGCAGUAAAUGCUUGGCAUUCCUGGGUCGUCCUUCUUGGUCAAAAGCGGUGACUUAAGUUGGUGAUCUUGGCCUCCAUGAACUACAGUGACCAUCUUAGCUGACUUGGUCCACACUUGCUUGUUCCUGUUCUUCUUGUUGGUCCUCUUCCUUGAUUCACGUUUGGAUUGAUCUGGAAUUUGUGUAGUCUUGUUCUUGAAGAAAAAUAUCUCCUUCCUCCCUUUGACGUAGAAACUGAUCUUGGCAGCUCUAGCGUAGAUGAUAGCUCCCGUGGUAUUCAAGAAUGGCCUCCCUAAGAUGAUAGGUGCUCUCUCAUCAUUUCCGGUCUCUACCACUACGAAGUCUGCUGGGGCAUAUAAGGUACCAACUCGGACACAAAGGUUCUUCAAUAUUCCCUUUGGAAAAGUUAUCGUCUGAUCUGCAAAUUGCAAACACAUGGUUGUUUCUAAUAAAGGAUAUGUAAAGAAUUUUUCAUAGAGUACCCUGGGUAUAAUGUUGACACUGGAGCCAAAGUCGCAGAGUGCUUCUGGAACGUCCACCAUGCCGAUGGAGAUCGGGAUGACGGGGCGUCCUGGAUCGCCUCUCUUGACCGGCAGAAGGUCAGUAGAGAAUUCAUUGACGGGGUUACUCCAAUUACCUGCAUCAAACGUGUCUACAAGAUUUGCAGAUUCUAAUCCUUCCGGUUGUGAUGGUAUACCGGGGUUAGUAGUAGGAACAGUAGCAGCUAUUUGAUUUAACUGAGAUUCAAUCAUUUUAUUAAAGCUAAUUUGAUUCUUGAUGGCAGUAGAGAAAUUAUCCAUUCUAUUAUUUAUAUUUUCUAGCAUUUUAUCAUUAGAUGCCAAUUUCUUAGAUAGGUUAUCCAUUAGCUUUCCUUGAUUAGACACUAACUCUCUCAAAGGUGGAAAAUUAUUAUUAUUGUUGUAAGAAUUGUUACCUUCAUAGUUACCUGAGUAGUUAGGCCUCUGUUGAUUCCAACCUUGAUUUUGUUGAGGACGGUUGUAGUAGUAGUAGUAGUUGUUGUUGAUGUAGUUCACAUCCUCAAGUAUCUUAGGGCAGUGGUUGCCUGAGUGUCCAGUGUCUCCACACUCCUCACAAGUCAUGUGAGAGUCGUAGAUGUGCAUAACUUCUUUCUUAUCUCCAGCUCUAUCGUCGAGCUUCUUCAUGAGCAGGUCUAGCUUUGCAGACAGCAUGUCUACCUCCUUCAGCUGAUGCAUACCUCCACCUCUCUUGCGUGUCUGGGUCCUCUCUUCAUUCCAGCUUUGAUUGGACGCCAUCUUCUCCACAAGAGCUGUGGCUUGUGGUAUAGUAAGUGAUAAGAAUGCUCCUCCAGCUGCAGCAUCCAUGGUCUCUCGGGCACUGUUGCCGAGCCCAUGAUAAAACGUCUGCAUCAAUAGCCAACUCUCCAUUCCAUGAUGGGGACAUUCUAGGAUGUAGUCUUGAAAGCGCUCCCAUGCUUCUGGAACAGAUUCAUCAUUUUGUUGCUGAAAACUCGUAAUCUUCCCACGGAGAGCAUUGGUCUUGCCCAUGGGAAAGAACUUAGCCAGGAAGUUUGUUGAGUAGAGUGCCCACGUAGUAUUCUUCUCCUUUGUAGCGUAGAACCACUGCUUCGCUCUUCCUAACAGUGAGAAUGGGAAGAGGCGAAGUAGUAUAGCAUCUUUGGAAACUCCUGAUAUGUUGAAUGUGUUGCAAAUCUCCAGGAAGUGUUGU